ACUAUUAUGAGUUAUUUAAGUGUAAAGUGACAGACAAAAGCAGAGGAGAAGUGCAGCAGUUUACCUACAGCCCUCCAUCAUCAGUUCGUACAGAUUUUUCUGCUCUGAGCUACGCCACGUUGGUGAUGCAUGUGGCUGAACUCCUCCUCAUCAUCAUUGUGAUUACUAUUCUUCUCUUCAGAGCUCGAGGGAACCAGAGACCACCUGAUGACAACACUGUUUUAAACUCAGGAAGAAGUCGAACAGUGAAGCGUUUUGGUCCAGCAGCCAGUCA